UGGGAAAUGGUUCAAAUUAAGAUUAUUUUUUAAAAAUUUUAAUACCCUCUCAGAUACAAGUGAUGCUCUUGGACCCUUUUUCACUUAGCCCACACUGACGCAUAACAUGGAAGAGCUGCACUAUCAGGACAGAAAGGUUCAAAUCCUAAUUUGGAGGACUAAUUUGGAGGUUGUUGAUUCCUUUGCAGGAAACAUGAACAGAAAGAUGCUGAGGUUGCUGUUUAUGGCUGAGGCCACUUUCAUACAGUCCAGUGAGUGUGUUUACAGUGUUCAUAACACUGCUGUGGGGUUUCAUUUCCAUUUCAGAGAGAAAGGGGUCUCCAGUGAUUUUCUGAACACACUGAACAAAGGACUUUCUAAAUUUCAUUUUAGACUCAUGGCAUUUCUAAUGCUACAGAUUUUAAGAAUAUGGUUUUCUAAAAAUUUGUUUUUAUUUAGUAAACAUUCUUUUUACAGAGGCACGUUAGAGAGGAAAGAGUAGGAUUAUUUAAGGGAGGGGAAUUAAUUGUGUCACUUCUAUAGGCAUUAGGCAAAUUGCCUCACUUAUAGUUAAGAGGCAGCAUGGGAGUUUUUAAGUAUAGGGUACCUGCAAUGCACUUUAUGAUAGUCUUAGCUUAUGACCUUAUAUCAUUUUAUUUCUCUAUUAAAGCAAGACAUUCCACACUGAGACUGCGAUUGUGCACAGUGCGGUAGUUAGCACCUCAUGUCCUGAAGACUGUAUGGUGUACUGCGCUAAAACAGUGAAGGAGGUGUUGAGUACUUGAGAAGUUUAUAUGAUAAUCCAAGAAAUAAAAGAUGAUGUCUGAUAUGGGGUAGGAUGGAAGAUAUGAAGAGCUCAGCGUGUGAACUCCA